UACGUAGGGGGCAAGCGUUGUCCGGAUUUAUUGGGCGUAAAGAGCGUGUAGGCGGUUAUGCAGGUCCGCUGUGAAAACUGGAGGCUUAACCUCCAGACGUCGGUGGAAACCGUAUGACUAGAGUCCGGAAGAGGAGAGUGGAAUUCCUGGUGUAGCGGUGAAAUGCGCAGAUAUCAGGAAGAACACCCGUGGCGAAGGCGGCUCUCUGGGACGGUACUGACGCUGAGACGCGAAAGCGUGGGGGGCGAACAGG
rnacentral:rRNA from 1 species